AAGACGCGUGGACCUGCUGAUCUCCUCUGCUGCAGCGACAGACUCUGCUGUGUACUACUGUGCUGUGAGGCCCACAGUGACAGGAAACAGUAAAAGUGUGUAGAAAACCUGCAGAGCAAAGACAACACAAUACUCCACAACAUCCACUAGUGGGACUCACACAGUGGGAACCCACUGGUUGUUGAGUUGUUGGACUGAUGACAAAGACAACAGACACAUGAAGCAGCAGAAACAAGCCAUGGGCUCCACCAACAAGAUCAUCCAGGAACAGAGUGGAGUUGUUGCAGAGGGAACAGGCAUCAGCUUGAGCUGUGAGUACGACGGUUCUAUCUACAGUAUCCAGUGGUACCGACACCAGCAGAAAUCCAGACCAGAGUUCCUGCUCUACAUCACAGAGGGAGGAUCCAUUCAUCCAAUUCGGUCUGAUUUCUCAGCUCGUAUAAACAAAACACAGAAACGUGUGGACCUGCUGAUCUCCUCUGCUGCAGCGACAGACUCUGCUGUGUACUACUGUGCUCUGCAGCCCACAGUGACAGGAAACAGUAAAAGUGUGUAGAAAACCUGCAGAGCAAAGACAACACAAUACUCCACAACAUCCACUAGAGGGACUCACACACUGGGAACCCACUGGUUGUUGAGUUGUUGGACUGAUAACAAAGACAACAGACACAUGGAGCAGCAGAAACAAGGUGGAGUUGCAAUAAAGCUGGUGGAGUUCAAGUGGUUCAACAUCUAUAAAUUCUGUUUUAUCCAAAUUCAGAAGCAGGAAAUGAUUUUACAACCAGCUUCUAACAGUGGAUAGGCAUUUUUCUAGUUUAAUCAAGUUGUAAGGGCUACCCAGAGAGAGAGGGACAGGCAGCCGAUUAACAAUAAAGGUUACAUCAAAUGGACAUAGGAGGCCACCCAGAGACAGCAGAUAGAUUGAGAACAGCAGUGGGCCCAGUACUGUCACGUUGAGAGGAUUGUUUGGACCCAAAAUGCAGAUACCCAGGAUGACACGAGGCAGGAGUUGAUAUAAAGAAAGUCCUUUUAUUGUAGGAUGAGUCCAAAAAUAAAAAUAAAUCCAAAAGGCAGGGAGCCAAAAUCCAAAAAUCAGGAAAUGAUCAGGACAUCCAAAAACACCAGAGGAACGGGCAGACUAACAGAAUAAAUCACGCUGACAAACAACAAUGAACCGACAAGAUAAUGAGAAACAGACAGGGCUUUAUAGACUGGGGCAUAAUGGGAGGCAGAUGAGCUGCAGGUGUGUGGGGAGAGAACCAGGUGAAGGCAAUAACUAAUCAGGGAGGAGGAGCAGGGGAGGACACCGGACCUGACUGGAGAAGAACACACACACACACACACACACACACACACACACACACACACACACACACACACACACACACACACACACACACACACACACACACACACACACACACACACACUAAGCUGGGGAAUGACACACACACAGAGCUGGGACAAAGAGGCUGGAGCUACAACUGGAGGGGCUGGGGAUGACCUGAAAGGCUACAAACAGAAGGCACAUAAAUAAGAUGCAGACAAAGGACACAUGAGGGCGCUAAGAGACACAAAUGGGGAAUCUAAAGAGGGAUGGAGGACAUCAGGAGACACAUGGGGAAAGACGCAGACACAGACCAUGACAAGUACAGACCCUUGAGGGACUCCAUGCUUCAGCACAAAGGUUUCAGACAUGUCCUUCUGAAUCUGACAUCAUGUGAUCUCCCAGACAGCUCUGAUUUCAGCCAUAAGUGUGUUUCUCGUUACUCCCAUAUAACAUUCUAGCCUGUCCAGUGGUCUGCUGUGUCAAAAGCAGCAUUUAGAUUCAGCAGCAACAAGACUGGUUUUUAACCACUGUCCACCUUAAACAACAAGUUCUUCACCAUUUUCACCAGUGUAGUGUUGUACAUAUCUUUAUACCUCAGCUAUGCAGCAAUGUGGUUCUCCUUCAAACUCAAAGGGAACACUGUUAGCAGGGUUUGAUGUGGUACACCUCUUUAUGACAGCGCCAGGGUAUGUCAGUAGUGGCAUAUACUGCAGGCAUCUUGCUUGGUUUAACACAAACUUUCCUCGGUUGAUCAGUUCAGAUAUAUUAUGAUGUGUGUAGAUUGUGACAAGAUAUCCCAUUGUUCUCACUGAGGCUUUCUCAUCAGCAUUACGCAAAGCAGCCAAUCCUUGAUGACAAGGGGGCCAUCCCUGUGCCACAGUGGCCGUGUUCGAGUUGAGCUGCGCCUCGCCUGGAAAACAGACGAGAGCAGACGGAAGCAGCAGGGGGAGUGGCUGAAAGCCGGCGUUUAAGUCGGACACAAUUUCCUGCAUGUGUAGCUCGCGGGUGACGAUGGCUGAAGAUAUCGCGUUAGCGUUCAUA